GCGGAGCGCCGCGGCUGCCACUGCCGCCUGCGCACCUGGCUGCACCGCGCGUCCCGGGACCACACUCGUCCCCGCAGGAGCCCGGGGCUCCGCCGCACCCAGCGCUGGGGCCCAGGCCGGGCCGGGAGACAGGUCUUGCUGUGUUGCCCAAGCUGCUGCUGGCCUCAAACCCCUGGACUCAUGUGAUCUUCCCACCUUGACCUACUGAGUAGCUGGGACUGAGAGUCGUGUGCCAUGGUGCCCAGCAGUGUGAAAAAAAAGGAAAAAACUGAAAAUCUCAAGAGGAUUCCAGGAAAUCAAAACAAUGAAUUACUGAAUAAAGAAUUUGAAAGAGAAAAUAGAUGCAUACUAAAAAAAGAAUUUUGUUUAGUGAGAUAAAAGUAAUAAUGAAGGCAUGUUGAUAACGGGGGAGGCUAUAUAUAUAUGAGGGGAGGGAUAUAUUGGAAAUCUCUGUAUCUUCCUCUCAAUCUUGCUGUGAACCUAAAACUACUCUAAAAAAUAUUUUGAAAAGGGAUAAUGAUGUAGUAAACAUGUUCUGUGAUUUAAAAAGAGAGACUUUUCAUAACCACCUCCCUCCACCUCUACACACAGAGUCAUGUCUGUCUUCAUUCCCUUACUCAAUAAUUUGUACAGACACAACCACUGGGCUCCAGUAAUCCUAAAGUUUCUAGAAAAUCAAGCACAAAAAAAAGUUAAAACCCUGAGGGAAUAAAAGAAUUCCUUUGUAUCCAUUGCCUUUCUCAGGAAGUGAACUAACAAAUUCGCUGCUUUUAAAGAAGGAAAUUUUCUCAAUGAAAUUGGUUCCAAAUCUUCGUUAGGUCGACUGUCCCCAGUAAAGCUCACCCGUCAGACUUCU